UGGUUUGUGCCCAAGCCAUCUUCC
rnacentral:piRNA from 1 species